GGAAUUUUGCGCAAUGGGCGAAAGCCUGACGCAGCAACGCCGCGUGAGUGAUGAAGGCCUUCGGGUCGUAAAGCUCUGUCAGAGGGGAAGAACCACCUGUCGGCCAAUACCCGGCCGGCCUGACGGUACCCUCAAAGGAAGCACCGGCUAACUCCGCGCCAGCCGCCGCGGUAAUACGGAGGGUGCGGGCGGUGUUCGGAAUUAUUGGGCGUAAAGGGCGCGCAGGCGGUCUGUUAAGUCCGAUGUGAAAGCCCCGGGCUCAACCCGGGAAGUGCAUUGGAAACUGGCAGACUUGAGUACGGGAGAGGGAAGUGGAAUUCCGCAUGUAGGGGUGAAAUCCGUAGAUAUGCGGAGGAACACCGGUGGCGAAGGCGGCUUCCUGGACCGAUACUGACGCUGAGGCGCGAAAGCGUGGGGAGCAAA
rnacentral:rRNA from 1 species